AGGUACACAAUGUGGGCAACAAAUGCAAAGCUGAAUAGUGCCUGCAAAAUGGUUCAGAAGAUUCCCAUACUGAAAUGAACCUCAGCCGGCUCACCAUUCUGCCAAACUCAACCCAAUUUUGGAUGGACCCCAACUGUCCCACGGAACGAACCCUGGCUAUGACGAGGAUGGUUCUGGAAUCCUGGACAGAGCCAAUGAAGACUGGAGACACCGGACCACAGGAACACUGGAACACACUGGAACCCUGGAACAAGAUGCGAUGAUCAUCAGAUGUCAGUGGACCUCAGGAUCUAUGGUUUGAAGGUUGGAUUGUAAAGAGUGGAUUCCACUUUCCCUGGAACAUUCAACUGCAGUGUAUUCGUUAUUGUAAAACCAACCAAUCUGAAGUUCUACCAGUUUGGACUUCAAGGAACCACAGUGUAACCAAAUAGUGCUCAGUAAAUUGUGGGCACUACUGGUAAUAAAUAAUACUAAUUAUUCA